CCCUUAGAUGUCCUGGGCUGCACGCGCGCUACACUGAUGCGUCCAAUAAGCACCUAACCUAAUCCGAAGGGACCGGGUAACCUUAGCAAAGCGCAUCGUGAUGGGGAUAGAUUAUUGCAAUUAUUAGUCUUGAACGAGGAAUUCCUAGUAAGCGCAAGUCAUCAGCUUGUGUUGAUUACGUCCCUGCCCUUUGUACACACCGCCCGUCGCUCCUACCGAUUGGGUGUGCUGGUGAAAUGUUCGGAUCGGCCGUUUGUCGCGGUUUCCGCGUCAUGUGGCUGAGAAGUUCAUUAAACCCUCCCACCUAGAGGAAGGAGAAGUCGUAACA
rnacentral:rRNA from 1 species